rnacentral:misc_RNA from 1 species
GUCUCGAAAUCGGGACGAGUCCUUACUCAAUUUGACUCUAUGAUGUCGAAAGACUCUGUCAGGGCUCACGGUAUUGGCCCUGGUCUCGGGGUCUCGCAAUUUGCACUUAAGGAAGAAGCUGCUGGAAAAAUCCGGCUCUUCGCCUUAAUGGAUUCUAUAACACAAAGUGUUAUGAGUCCUCUCCACGAUUAUAUGUUUGCCAUCUUACGGAAAAUUCCGAACGAUGGGACAUUUGAUCAGGAGGCGUCAAUUGCUAGAUCUCAAGAUAAGGCCGUUGCCGCGGGAAAAGCAUUCAGUUUUGAUCUGACUGCAGCUACGGAUCGACUACCUGUAAUCCUUACCGCAUUCAUACUCUCCACUGUUGUGGGGAUUAGAAUGUUUGGGGGUCUUUGGAGGUCGAUUUUGGUCAAAAGACCUUUUGGUUUUAAUCAGCAGGUUGCUGGAAAACUAAAAGUCUCUGACGGUCCGUACUUCUACGAGGUAGGGCAACCUAUGGGUGCUCUAUCUUCUUGGCCCGGUCUUGCUCUAACGCAUCACUGGAUUGUCCAAGUUGCCGCUUUUAGAGUUACAAAUUCUAAGAGUUGGAACACCGAGUAUGAAAUACUUGGUGAUGAUAUUGUAAUAUUCAAUGAGGAAAUCUCAAAAGAAUAUUUACGUAUCAUGGCUGUCCUUGGGUGUGAAAUUAAUUUGAAUAAAUCAAUUUCUUCCCACUGCCGUCCCGUUUUCGAAUUCGCAAAACGAACCUGUUGGGGCUUUGCAAUAGUAAGUGGAAUCUCUCUAGCUCAAAUUCGAGCUGGAUGGAGAAUCGGAGGUCGUGUAGCUAAUGCUCUGCAAUUUGCAAGAGCAGGACUACUGUGCCCCGGUGAAUCCCUGUUGCAAGCUAUCCUUUCAAGAAAUACCUUUUCAAAAGGUAGAGUAUUGCCAGGUUAUAGAACGGAUUCCAUAACCUCACAAAAGGCUCUAGCCUUAGGGGUUCUGGCGUUGUUAGGGGAAAGAUUCCAAUCUGGAAUCAUCCCGCUAAGAACGGUAAUGCACGCGAUCAUAGAUCCUAUU